AACGACACUUGCCUUGAAGUUCAUAUAGGGCGUUGUGAAAAUCUGAAAUCCUUACCAGAGGGCCUGUGUCUUCUUACUAAUCUUCGUAGGUUAAUUGUAUUUGUCUGUGCAAGUCUUGUUUCCUUCCCAAGAGGAUUAUUACCAAAAAGGGCCUCCAACCUGACAUCCCUUGUUAUCUCUGACUGUCAACGAUGGAACGUCUUCCCCAAAGGCAUGAUCAACCUCAAUUCUCUCCAGGAGCUGGUGAUUGGCAGCUGUGAAGGUUUGGCUUCCAUUCUAGAGGAGGGUUUUCCCCCCAACCUAACAUCACUUAUCCUCUUGAAUCCCAGAAAUUGUAAGCCACUCAGGGACUGGGGAUUGCACUUGCACAGACUCAGUUCUCUAACAGAGUUAUGCAUUCAAGGUGUCGAUCAAGAUUUGGUGUCCUUUCCACCAGAGGAGAUGCUGCUUCCUACAUCUCUCAUUAAACUUACCAUUGGAUUCUUCCCAAAUCUGAGACGAAUAUCCAGCCAGGGCCUUCAAGUACUCACCUCUCUUGAAUCUCUUAGAAUUGAUGAUUGCCCAAAGCUUGCAUCCAUUCCAGAGGAUCUGCCCUUUUCACUCACACAACUUUACAUCUUUGAUGAUUGUCCUGUGCUUAGAAAGAGAUAUAAACCAGAUGUACCAAGGUACUGGGAAAAAAUAAGUCACAUUCCAUACAUAGAGAUAGGGGACUACUACACACCCUAAGGCCUUUCGGAGUCUGGCCAGAUCAACAGAGCUAAAGGACAUGAGAAAUGCUCAAAGAUCAGAACUAAUCCUAGUUUCAGCUGAACAUCUCUGGUAAUUUUUCUAAUUUCCAAAGCAAACUCAGAACUGAUUCCAGUGAGAAAGGCCUUCUGAGUUCUAAAAAAUUUCUCUAAGUUUACUGACCCUUAUCAUAUUCCAGUGAGCAAUUUGCUUCUUUCCUCAUUUCAACAUGUGCAUAGGAAAUGAGACAUGGUUGUUGAUGGCCUUACGAAGAAAAGUGUCGAUAAAGAUUUGUGUCUCCUAAUAUUACCAUCUAUGUCUGCAAAUAUGCAUUCAUCCUAGAAG